rnacentral:rRNA from 1 species
AACGAACGCUGGCGGCAGGCCUAACACAUGCCAGUCGAACGCCCCGCAAGGGGAGUGGCAGACGGGUGAGUAACACGUGGGAACCUUCCCUAUAGUACGGAAUAGCCCAGGGAAACUUGGAGUAAUACCGUAUACGCCCGAAAGGGGAAGGAAUUUCGCUAUAGGAUGGGCCCGCGUAGGAUUAGCUAGUUGGUGAGGUAAUGGCUCACCAAGGCGACGAUCCUUAGCUGGUUUGAGAGAACGACCAGCCACACUGGGACUGAGACACGGCCCAGACUCCUACGGGAGGCAGCAGUGGGGAAUAUUGGACAAUGGGCGCAAGCCUGAUCCAGCCAUGCCGCGUGAGUGAUGAAGGCCUUAGGGUUGUAAAGCUCUUUUGGCGGGGACGAUAAUGACGGUACCCGCAGAAUAAGUCCCGGCUAACUUCGUG